rnacentral:rRNA from 1 species
GACGAAGGGGGCUAGCGUUGUUCGGAAUUACUGGGCGUAAAGCGAGUGUAGGUGGUUGUCCAAGUUGGAUGUGAAAGCCUUGAGCUCAACUCAAGAGAUGCAUUCAGGACUGGGCGGCUAGAGGACCGGAGAGGAUAGUGGAAUUCCCAGUGUAGUGGUGAAAUACGUAGAGAUUGGGAAGAACACCAGUGGCGAGGGCGGCUAUCUGGACGGUUUCUGACACUAAGACUCGAAAGCGUGGGGAGCAAACAGG